UACGUAGGGGGCAAGCGUUGUCCGGAUUUAUUGGGCGUAAAGAGCGUGUAGGCGGUUUGGUAGGUCCGCUGUGAAAACUCGGGGCUCAACCCCGAGCCUGCAGUCGAUACGGGCAGACUAGAGUGCUGUAGGGGAGACUGGAAUUCCUGGUGUAGCGGUGAAAUGCGCAGAUAUCAGGAGGAACACCGGUGGCGAAGGCGGGUCUCUGGGCAGUAACUGACGCUGAGGAGCGAAAGCGUGGGGAGCGAACAGG
rnacentral:rRNA from 1 species